UACGGAAGGCAGCAGUGGGGAAUAUUGCACAAUGGGCGCAAGCCUGAUGCAGCCAUGCCGCGUGUAUGAAGAAGGCCUUCGGGUUGUAAAGUACUUUCAGUCGUGAGGAAGGUGUUAAGGUUAAUAACCUUAGCAAUUGACGUUAGCGACAGAAGAAGCACCGGCUAACUCCGUGCCAGCAGCCGCGGUAAUACGGAGGGUGCGAGCGUUAAUCGGAAUUACUGGGCGUAAAGGGCACGCAGGCGGUUAAUUAAGUUGGAUGUGAAAUCCCCGGGCUUAACCUGGGAAUGGCAUUCAAGACUGGUUAGCUAGAGUCUUGUAGAGGGGGUAGAAUUCCGAUGUGUAGCGGUGAAAUGCGUAGAGAUGUGGAGGAAUACCGGUGGCGAAGGCGGCCCCUGGGACAAAGGCUGACGCUCAUGUGCGAAAGCGUGGGGAGCAAAC
rnacentral:rRNA from 1 species